GGGAUUCAUUUAUAGACGUUUAACAUUUCAUUGGUUUGGAGGACCCUGAAUUUAUUCCAGCUAUAUUUUGCUAUAUGUAAACUAUAUGGAUACCUUUUUUCAUAUACACUGCUACACUCUUUAGUAGCUAUAUCUUUUGCUACUUUGUAAGUGAGAUAAUCUACUCAUCUAGUAUCAAGUUUACUAAUUUGUAUCUAUUUAAACUGGAACAUUUUCCCUUGGUGUCCCU